AAUGGGAAGGACAAAGGGUCGCAACCUCGCGAGAGCAAGCUAAUCUCAUAAACCUUUUCGUAGUCCGGAUCGGAGUCUGCAACUCGACUCCGUGAAGUCGGAAUCGCUAGUAAUCGUAGAUCAGAACGCUACGGUGAAUACGUUCCCGGGUCUUGUACACACCGCCCGUCAUACCAUGGGAGUGGGUUGCAAAAGAAGUGGGUAGCUUAUUUGGGCGCUCACCACUUUGUGAUUCAUGACUGGGGUAAAGUCGUAACAAGGUAACCCUAGCGGAAGCUGGGGUUGGAUCACCUCCUUAAGA
rnacentral:rRNA from 1 species